UAGAUAGGAGUCUGUAGGCCAAGACAGCUAGCUGUUAACUAGUUAUUGCGGGAUCGAAGCUCGCCUAUCUAG
rnacentral:tRNA from 1 species